CCAACAGAAGUGUUCUUUUCUGGGUAAACAGUGACAUCUAGCGGGUAUAAUUGGAUAAGGCAACUACGGCCUCCCCUGCCAUCAUGAAAAGGGGAAAACCAAAUUCAAUUGUUUUUAUUAUAAAGUCAUUUUCCUUUUAAUUUCAAUCAUUUUGAAUCAUUUUGAACCAAAAUUGCUGAAUUUUUAUAGUUAUUUUAAAAUCGAAGACGAUAUAUUAACUCAUUUCCGUAGUUAAGCUGGUGUAUAUAAUAUAUUUUUUUGUCAUCUGUCUGUAACGUCGUGUUUCUUUAGAAUCUAAAGUUUAGAUGACCAAAACGGCUUUGAAAAGAGACCUUACGGAGGCUACAAAAAGGUUUUCCGGUCUUACGGCAGGGGGUGCUAGUGAUCCCGGGAUGCUUCAUGUGCUUACCUGUAGAAUAAGAGAUUUGAUAGGUAUUAACUGUGAACACCUGAGGAGCCGUCGUCCAUUUUUUUUCGGUUUACAUUUUGGGUCUUUUUUUGUUUAGUUUUCUUCCUCCAUUUUUACAUUUCGUUUUAUAAUGGAGGAUCACAUAUCCAAACGAUUUUCAACGAUGGAUUUUCGGUCCAAGCAAGAGGUUAUCGGUAAAGGAGGAGCAACUCCGGAGUUAGAAGCAACUCCAGCUGUCAGCGCCCUCGAGACGGCAAGAUGAACGGCCGAGCCAAGCAGCCUGUUCGCAGAAGGCCUGUCAUCAACUCGUCCGGCCGCCGCAAGGAUCCAACAAGGGGAGAAACUCUACGAAAGGAAUGAUUACAUAAGAAUCAUAAAAUGGAAUGAUGCAUUUUUUGCAUCUUUCCGCUACGUCUUUUACGAGCAACGAACAGGCCUCAGCUUGGACUCUAACCGUUAAGUGUCAGGGGCUCGGCCCACCUGCCCGCCGGCCACACAGCUGCGGCACUCACUUAACACAAUUCGCCCCCCUCUCGACUCAGGUGAUGCAGAACCCGUGGCGGGCUUCCAGUGACUGAUCCAAAGGCGACGGCUGAUAAGAGCGUGAGGUCACUCCGACGAGUUAACCAAGCUAAUCGUCUAGUCAUCGACUCCUACGCUUGGCCUGCACCCCUCGAGUUCAACGGCGGGCCAAGAGAGAACGAAGGGUGCACAAAUGACUGACUGAUGGUUGACAAACACUGAUGAAAUUUAAGCUCACGCCUGCGAGGAUAAACCCAAGCGCAGUCCUAAAGGACCGAGAGCAGCGAAGGCCAUAAAAACCGAGUCACCAAAGAAGUCUGCGCGCUUCACCUCUGCCCUCGACACAAGCCUGUUAGCGUGCACUAUUUAGUCCGAUAACCUGACAGGAGAGUUUGGGUUUCAGCAUCAAGAUUCUUGAGCAGGCCCAGCUGUCUCCUGAAAGGACUCGAUGGACACCUCUCACAGUAAAGCGGUGACAUCUUUGCCUUCAUAUAAAAAUAACACAGCCCCAUUUCCAUCACCAAGCACUUCAUUAAAAAAAAAAAAAAAAAAAAAAACUUUGCUCACACGGACACUUUGGGAAUUCCGGUCUCCGUUGUGACCCAAAUAGAAGACCACACCUACACGGAUGGAAACAUGAGCUCUUUGAGAGUGGACGAAGGAAUAGUCCUCAAAGUGAAACCAUAUGAGGCCACUCUUUCCCUUCACCGUGUUUGCGUGCCGCGGCCUCGCCUAAAGGAAAGGUGACAGCAACGCAGAAGCCAACGCCGUUUAUUUGUGUUUUUCACACUUUUAGCCAGGCUGUUCCUAAUCUUUGGAAUCAUUAAACGUACCCCUUGAGGACGGCCCGAGGAGAGAUUGGAUUCAGAAAGACACAUUGUUUACAUAUUUGAAUAAGACGUUGAAAGUUUGCUGUCAAAUAUUGUGAAGGGGCAAAGCCACCAUUUUGCUACGACUUGCGCGCAAAUGUGGCGGGAUUACAAAAGAAGCGCUUCGACAACUAAUGCUGAAAUGCCGAAAUUUGAAGGCAAAUGUAUUCAUCUGCGCCAUUAUUUUGUGAAGGUGGAAUUGGCUGUCAUUUUUGAGGCUUUGGCAGCUGAGAGCCUUAAACAUGGACGCUGUUCUCAACAGUCAAAUGUGUUAUCAUUCAAUGUGCAGCGGCGCAGAGCCGCCCGGCGUCCUACUGAGAGCUGUUUCUAAUAUGACUUUACCCAUGAAGAUGCGGUGUAGUUCUAUGCAGCUUCAACAACAACAACCAUCUUGUUCAACCAGAAAUGGCAUUUAGUUUAGUUUUAUUGUUUAGCACAUAUAUCAAUAACUGUGCAAGGAGGGAGACGAAGCCUAGGGCUUGUAAAGAGCUCCACUCAUAUUUACAUGCUGAGAGAUACCUUGAAGGACUGUAAUGCUAGCUAAUGUAUCACACACACCAUAUGGGGAUGAUAUCGGAGCAAUGGGACUGAUUGGGUGCUUAGAUGAGAUUUGAUGUCCGCUACAGUGAUUUUGAACUAUGACUUCAACCAGUAGGUGUCGACCAGUAAUGCGCAUUGAAGCUGGUGCCACUUCGCCGUAAAACAAAACGAAAAAGAAAAUGACAUAACUUCCCGUUCACGAACGAGUUGUGAAUUCUUCUCUUUAGGUAAUCUUUAUUUCAUAACACUUAAUGUUUAUGCAUAUAGAUGCCUAAAUAUUGUUAUCCAAUAUAUCUACUGCAAUUUCACAUCAGAUUGCUGGUUUGAAGUUUACUUUUAUUUUUAUUUUAAUAAACAUUAAAGCCUGUUAAAACUU